AUAUGGAAUUAGAGGUUUAUGAACAUGAUGAGUUUACGAUACUCAUCAUGUUCAUAAACCUCUAAUUCCAAAC